rnacentral:rRNA from 1 species
UACGUAGGGGGCAAGCGUUGUCCGGAUUUAUUGGGCGUAAAGAGCGUGUAGGCGGCUAGGUAGGUCCGCUGUGAAACUCGAGGCUCAACCUCGAGACGUCGAUGGAAACCAUCUAGCUAGAGUCCGGAAGAGGAGAGUGGAAUUCCUGGUGUAGCGGUGAAAUGCGCAGAUAUCAGGAAGAACACCCGUGGCGAAGGCGGCAUCCUGGACCGACAUUGACGCUGAUGAGCGAAAGCUAGGGGAGCAAACGGG